UACGGGGGGGGCAAGCGUUGUUCGGAAUUACUGGGCGUAAAGGGCGCGUAGGCGGCCUUCUAAGUCGGACGUGAAAUCCCUCGGCUCAACCGGGGAACUGCGUCCGAUACUGGAGGGCUUGAAUCCGGGAGAGGGAUGUGGAAUUCCAGGUGUAGCGGUGAAAUGCGUAGAUAUCUGGAGGAACACCGGUGGCGAAGGCGACAUCCUGGACCGGUAUCGACGCUGAGGCGCGAAAGCCAGGGGAGCAAACGGG
rnacentral:rRNA from 1 species